CCUACGGGUGGCAGCAGUGGGGAAUCUUGGGCAAUGGGCGCAAGCCUGACCCAGCAACGCCGCGUGAAGGAAGAAGGCUUUCGGGUUGUAAACUUCUUUUCUGAGGGACGAAAGUGACGGUAACUCAGGAAUAAGCCUCGGCUAACUACGUGCCAGCAGCCGCGGUCAUACGUAGGUGGCGAGCGUUAUCCGGAUUUACUGGGUGUAAAGGGCGUGUAGGCGGGAUGGUAAGUCAUAUGUGAAAACUAUGGGCUCAACCCAUAGCCUGCAUUUGAAACUAUCUUUCUUGAGUGUGGGAGAGGUAAGCGGAAUUCCGGGUGUAGGGGUGAAAUGCGUAGAUAUAAGGAGGAACACCAGUGGCGAAGGCGGCCUGCUGGACAAUAACUGACGCUGAGGCGCGAAAGCGUGGGGAGCAAACGGGAUUAGAUACCCCAGUAGUC
rnacentral:rRNA from 1 species